GAUGAACGCUAGCUACAGGCUUAACACAUGCAAGUCGAGGGGUAACGAGAGGAAAGCUUGCUUUCCUUGUCGACGACCGGCGCACGGGUGAGUAACGCGUAUCCAACCUGCCCCCAACUAAGGAAUAACCUUGCGAAAGUAAGACUAAUACCUUAUAAUUUCCUCAGAUGACAUCUGACGAGGAAUAAAGAUUUAUCGGUUGUGGAUGGGGAUGCGUCUGAUUGGCUUGUUGGCGGGGUAACGGCCCACCAAGGCAACGAUCAGGAGGGGUUCCUAGAGGAAAGACCCCCACAUUGGAACUGAGACACGGUCCAAACUCCUACGGGAAGCAGCAGUGAGGAAUAUUGGUCAAUGGGCGGAAGCCUGAACCAGCCAAGUAGCGUGCAGGAUGACGGCCCUAUGGGUUGUAAACUGCUUUUAUACAGGAAUAAAGUUAGCCACGUGUGGUUAUUUGUAGGUACUGUAUGAAUAAGGACCGGCUAAUUCCGUGCCAGCAGCCGCCGUAA
rnacentral:rRNA from 1 species